rnacentral:rRNA from 1 species
UACGAAGGGUGCAAGCGUUACUCGGAAUUACUGGGCGUAAAGCGUGCGUAGGUGGUUUGUUAAGUCCGAUGUGAAAGCCCUGGGCUCAACCUGGGAACUGCAUUGGAAACUGGCUUACUAGAGUGCGGUAGAGGGGUGUGGAAUUCCCGGUGUAGCAGUGAAAUGCGUAGAUAUCGGGAGGAACAUCUGUGGCGAAGGCGACACCCUGGACCAGCACUGACACUGAGGCGCGAAAGCCAGGGGAGCAAACGGG